rnacentral:rRNA from 1 species
UACACUCCUGCGGGAGGCAGCAGUGGGGAAUUUUGGACAAUGGGCGAAAGCCUGAUCCAGCAAUGCCGCGUGAGUGAAGAAGGCCUUCGGGUUGUAAAGCUCUUUUGUCAGGGAAGAAACGGUGAGAGCUAAUAUCUCUUGCUAAUGACGGUACCUGAAGAAUAAGCACCGGCUAACUACGUGCCAGCAGCCGCGGUAAUACGUAGGGUGCAAGCGUUAAUCGGAAUUACUGGGCGUAAAGCGUGCGCAGGCGGUUUUGUAAGUCUGAUGUGAAAUCCCCGGGCUCAACCUGGGAAUUGCAAUGGAGACUGCAAGGCUAGAAUCUGGCAGAGGGGGGUAGAAUUCCACGUGUAGCAGUGAAAUGCGUAGAUAUGUGGAGGAACACCGAUGGCGAAGGCAGCCCCCUGGGUCAAGAUUGACGCUCAUGCACGAAAGCGUGGGGAGCAAACAGGAUUAGAAACCCUUGUAGUCCCAUGA